CCUGGGGAGAGAGCCCACCACGUCGGGUCACCGGCACUCCGCUCGGUGGGCCACGUCCCGCCGAGCUCCCACCAGUCUGGAAGGAGCUGGCUGCGGUGGGGGGAGGGGGGGACCGGCUGUGCAGGAGCCGUCUGGAGGGCCCCCCCUACCUCCCACCUUCCCCCCAUCGGCAGGCGCUCCAGUGACCUGUCGCCCCGGGCCUGGCUCCCGGAGCUGCGUGCCUACUGACCCGGCAGGUGCCUACUGCUCCGUACCGGCUGCCUCUGCAUCGAGGGGCCUGCCUCAGGCCACCCUCAGCCUGGCCCUGGCCCUGGGAUUACGUGUGCUUCCGUGAUGGAUGCUCUCGGGGCCCUCGAUGGGGCCGGGGCCACGGACGAUGACGGGAACCAAGAUGCACGGGACCCUCCGGCAGCUCUGUACUGGCCUGGAGCCCCCGCCACAACCGCCGCUCCUUGGCUGGCAGGCCCCAAGAAAGAUGAGCUGGUGGCAUGUGGUCCCGUGCUCCUCACCCAUGCGGACGGCUGGGUGCCUCCCACAGCCGGACACAGCUCAUGCUGCCCUUCUGCCACGGCCCCUGGUCAGUCCCCCCCGCACACCAGCGAUGUCCCCCGGGGACGCCACGUGGCAUCCUGAGCUGGGGGGUGACCCGGCCACGUCCGUGCGUGCAUCUGCAGCCCCUUCCUUCUUACGCUGAGACGUGCUCCUGUGUGGAAGUGCUGGUGUGUCCAGCCACUCACCCGCUCAGGUACCGGCUUGUCCCCGGCUCGGGGCGAUGACGGUUCAGGCUGCGACACGCACUCCAGGACAGGUUCCUAUGGGAGCACAAGCUCUCACUUGUCUAAGGCGGACACUCGGGACCGGAACUGCCGGGCCCAGGCAAGGGGAGAGCGCCCCUUCCGAAGAAGCCGCGAAACCACUCCCGGACUGGCUUCCGUGUCCCUCCGCGGCCCUGCCGCACACAGCGUCGCCGGCGCUGGGCCCGCCAACGCGGGCUGUGACUUCUGAAUCCCCAUCCACCUGCUGCUUGAGGGGCUCAUCUGCUCUCCUGUGUCUUCUCUGCUGGCCUGUGUGUCCAGGCCCGGGCCCACCGGUGACCAGGCUGUUUUCCCACAGACGAGUUGUGAGGCUUCUUCACACGUUCUGGGCCGAGUCCCUUCUUGGGUACGUAGUCUGUGGUUUGUCUUUUCUUCCUUGUGAUAGCGUCCUUCUCUGAGCAAAAGCUCUACAUGUUGAUUAUGCUCAAUUUACUGAUUCCGUUUCGUUAACAAUCAUGCCUUGUGUCACAGCCAAGAGCUCUUCACCUGAUGGUACGUCACGAAGAUUUCCUCACUCUCUUUCAGAAGUUUCACAGUUUUACAAUUUAGAAUCAUUUGGAGUUGCUUUUGGCAUGGAGUGCCGGGUUUGGGUCAAGAUUCACUCCCCCACCCCCCACAGAUGACUGUUUUUUCCAACAGCUUUGGUUGAAAAGACUAAUCCUUCUGCACCAAAUUUCUUUUGCAUCUUUGUCAAAAAUCAAAGGCCCACAUCUGUGUGGGUCUAUGUCUGGACUCGGCUGUCCCCUUGACCUGUGCGUCUGCUCCUCUGCCACACCGUGUGUCUUCGGUGCCGUGGCCUUACAGCGAUUACAACUGGGUGGUGGGAUCCUUCCAGCCUUCCUGCUCUUUCCCCAAAACCGUUGUCGCUGCGCCCCUCCACGUGUCUCAGCCAGCUCAUCGGCACCCACGACGGCUCUGCUGGGGCUCCGACGACGAACGAACAGGGCGGGCUGAGAGAGCUCCCGUUGGAGCUUGUCAAGCCUCCUGGCCCACAAGCGCGGCACGCCUGCCGCUGGCGCAGGCCUCUGACCGCGCUCACCAGCACCUGGCACUUUGCAGCGUGCACACCCAAGUGUACCCCGAAGCACUUGGCUGUUUCCGGAGCCGUCCGGAAAACUAUCAUAUUUAUGUCCAUAAGAAUUUGUGAUGUUUAAUAUCUGCUGAGUUUAUGCUGACACCCCCUUCACUGCUUAUAGUGAUAAUCUGCACCUUUCUCUUUGUCAAUCUUGCUAAAGGUUUAUCAAUUUUAUUGAUCUUUUUAAGAAA